rnacentral:rRNA from 1 species
CGCUUACGGGAGGCAGCAGUGGGGAAUAUUGCGCAAUGGGGGAAACCCUGACGCAGCAACGCCGCGUGAGUGAAGAAGGCCUUCGGGUUGUAAAGCUCUUUAAUCAGGGACGAAGAAUGACGGUACCUGAAGAAUAAGCUCCGGCUAACUACGUGCCAGCAGCCGCGGUAAUACGUAGGGAGCAAGCGUUAUCCGGAUUUAUUGGGUGUAAAGGGUGCGUAGACGGGAAGGCAAGUUGGUUGUGAAAUCCCUCGGCUUAACUGAGGAACUGCAACCAAAACUAUCUUUCUUGAGUGCUGGAGAGG